ensembl:snoRNA
GUUCCCAUGAUGACUGUUUUUAGUUCAACUGCUGAAUGAUUCACAAAUGAACUAAAUCUUAACACUCUGAUCGGA